rnacentral:rRNA from 1 species
GCUGGCGGCGUGCUUAACACAUGCAAGUCGAGGGACCGGCGGAAGGGUGCGUAACGCGUGAGCGACAUGCCCGUUGCCCGGGGACAACCGGUGGAAACGCCGACUAAUCCCCGAUGGCGACGGAUUGGCUCGCGUCCGAUUAGCUUGUUGGCGGGGUAACGGCCCACCAAGGCUACGAUCGGUAGGGGUUCUGAAGGAAGGCCCCCCACAAUGGGACUGAGACACGGCCCAUACUCCUACGGGAGGCAGCAGUGAGGAAUAUUGGUCAAUGGGCGGAAGCCUGAACCAGCCAUGCCGCGUGCGGGAAGGAGGCCUAUGGGCUGUGAACCGCUUUUGCCUGGGGGCGAGUACCAGGCGAAUAAGCAUCGGCUAACUCCGUGCCAGCAGCCGCGGUAAUACGGGGGAUGCGAGCGUUAUCCGGAUUCAUUGGGUUUAAAGGGUGCGUAGGCUGUGCGUCAAGUCGGGGGUGAAAUUCCGGUGCUCAACACCGGGGCUGCCCUUGAUACUGUCG